UUUUAGUGAUUUGUAUUUUUUCCAUUAUAGUUGGUUUACCAUGUUCUGUCAAUUUCUACUGUACAGCAAAGUGACCCAGUCACGCACACACACACUCUCUCUCUCUCUCUCUCUCUCUCUCUCUCACACACACACACACACACACACACACACACACAUUCUUUUUCUCAUAUUAUCCUCCAUCAUGCUCUAUCCCAAGUGACUAGACAUAGUUCCCAGGGCUAAACAGCAGGAUCUCAUUGCUCAUCCAUCCCAGAUGCACAAUUUACAAAUAUUGUGGAAAACAGUCAAAUAAUUUCAUUAUUUUCUAUUUGGGUUGACAUGCGGUUUACAGCUAUUCUGCGAAACACUGAUAUAUGCAACAAUUAAUAAUCAACAAUCAACAAAAUGUAUGACAGUAGAUGUAUUAACCAAACAUCUGUUGAUUAAAAGACCUGAACUGGAACCACCAACUGCCCUACAAGAGUUGAACAAUUUGUAGCAUGGUAAUCACAUCAUCUUUUGGAUAUAACAUAAUGCAUCUCACAAUAUUAUAUUGAGCGAUGAAGAAAAACAACAAGUGUAUGCACUGAGGCAUCCCGGGGGCUGUGAAGGAAACAGACCUCAAGCACAUGAGAGGCACAGGGACGAAGUGGAGGUGGUGGGCUCUAUGGUGAGGGGGUAAGAGGGUUUCUUGGAGGAGGAGACAAGAGUUACUUCUUUUUAAUGGAAGGCACAAAGGAUGAUAUCCAGAAAACAGAAAAAGAUCAGAGAAACCAAGAAGAAACACAAGAACCCCAGUGGAAAAAUGACCAAAGGUUAUAAACAGGCAAGAGAAGGAAGAGGAGACUCAUGAAGGGCCAGAAACCACCAGACCCCCAACCUCAGCAGUCACCAGGCAAACACGUGAAAACCACACAGAGAUACCAUUUCAUUUCCAGCAUGAUGGCAAAACAGAAAUAAAUUAUAAGUCUAAUGAUGCCAAAUGAUUGUUUUUGUCUCUUUUAUUUUUUUUACGGCUACACCCACAUGGAAGUUCCUAGGCUAGGGGUCGAAUCAGAGCUGUAGCUACCGGCCUACACCACAGUUCACGGCGACCUACACCACAGAUCAAGGCAACACCAGAUCCUUAGCCCACUGAGCGAGGCCAGGGAUCAAACCUGAGUAGUCCUCAUGGAUGAGAGUCGGAUUCGUUACCGCCGAGCCACAAGGGGAACUCCUAACGACGUCAAACGUUGUUGAGAAUAAUGGGAGUCCUCAUCCACCUGGUACAGAGGGAACACUUGGUGCCACCUCCUCGGACAGCAAUUCAGUAGCAGCUACAGAGGUUGAAGACAAGCAUGCCCUGUGAGCCCGCAGUGUCCCUCCCAGCUACACCAGCCAUGAGUCUAAAAACACGUGUGCCAGGAGACAGGAGGGGAUGAUGCUCACUGCAACACUGAAUAAGGAAUACUGUCGACAACCUAAAGACCCAUCAACGGGAGAGUAAAUAAAUACACACAACAUUGAACAGUCAUACAAUAGAGUCUCAGUAGGUAUAGCAGUUAAUAAAUGAGAAGGACAUGCAUCCAAAUGUAUUAAUCUCAGAAAGGGAAUACUGAUGAAAAUACAAGGCGUGAAAAGAUAGAAAAAGACCAGUAUCAUUUAUAUGAAGUAAUAAAAGAAAACCCACUCCUAAGUAUAUGUAAUAAAAGUAUUAAACCACAGACAGGGAGUUCCCGUCGUGGCUCAGUGGUUAACGAAUCCGACUAGGAACGAUGAGGUUGCGGGUUCGAUCCCUGGCCUUGCUCUGUGGGUUAAGGAACUGGCGUUGCCGUGAGCUGUGGUGUAGGUUGCAGAUGUGGCUCGGAUCCCGCGUCGCUGUGGCUCUGGCGUAAGCCGGCGGCUACAGCUCUGAUUCGACCCCUAGCCUAGGGAACCUCCAUAUGCUGCAGGUGCAGCCCUAGAAGAGACGAAAAGAAAAGAAAUAAAAUAAAAUAAAUAAAAUAAAAUAAAAUAAAAAUAAAACCACAGACAGGAAAGAUACACAACUCCACAGAAUGGUCCCCUCUGGAGGGAAGGUACAAAGAGGAGGACUUAGCUGUAUCUGAAAUGGUUAAUUUAACUCUAAACAUCAAUGUUUAUUAAAUCUGGAUGGUGACACAUGCACAUUCAUUACAUUUUUCUCUGUAUUCUGGGGCACAUUUAAAAUAUUUUCUAAUAAGUUUUUAAAAGCUUAGAAGAAAAUAUGACAAAAUGUGAACAGCUGUUAAUUCUAGGUGGUGGAAAUAGGAGUGCUUGGUAUCUAAUACAUUUUUCUUCCUUCCUUUAAGAAACCAUCACUGUAACAAUUCGAUCCCAGUGUAAAACCUGGGAAGGAAACCCAGGAGCCAAGCUUUCAGGCAGGCAAGAGCAGCCAAAGACCUGUACACAGUGGUCUUGUUUUACUGUGAGGGUUACGUACAAAAGAGAGGCAGGGAGGGAGGGGAGGAAGAAAACCUCCCUAAGUAUCCACCCUGGGAAACUCUGGCGGUAUCUACUAAAGUGGAACAAUCGCCCUUCCUACAGCCUGCAAUUCCAUACCGCACACCCAUGGAAACCAGGGCUGAAAAACAUACACGCAAUUCAUGCAGCUCAAUUAAAAAAAAAAAAAGAAAAACCCACUACGCAAUUUAAAAAAAAUGGACAGAAACUCUAAAUAGACUUUUCUUCAAAGAAGACAUAUAUGACCAAGAAGCACAUGAAAAGAUACUCAACAUCACUAAUGGCUAGAGAAAUGCAAAUCAAAACUGCAAUGGGGUAGCACCUCACACAGUCAGAAAAGCCAUCAUCAAAAAGUCUAUAAACGAUAAAUGCUGGAGAGGUGCAGAUAAAAGGGAAUCCUUCUACACUGUAAACGUAAGUUAGUGCAACCACUGCAGAAAAUAGCAUGGAGGCUCCUCAAAAAACCAAAAACAGAAUUACCAUAUGAACUAGCAAUCCCACUCCUGGGCAUAUAACCAGAGAAAAGCAUAAUUUGAAAAGAUACAUGCACCCCAAUGUUCACUGCAGCACUAUUUACAAUAGCCAAGACAUGGGAGCAACCUAUAUGUCCAUUAACAGAUGAAUGGAUAUAGAAGAUGUGAUACAUACAUAUACAAUGGAAUAUUACUCAGCCAUAAAAAGAAUGAAACCAGACAUUUGCAGCAGCACGGAUAGACCUAGAGGUUAUCAUACCAAAUGAAAUAAGUCAGACAGUUUUGAACUUAUUUACAAAGCAGAAACUGACUCACAGUCUUCAAAAACAAAGGGGAGAGGCAGCAGGGGGUGGUGGACCUAGGGGUUUGGGGGUGGUGGACCUAGGGGUUUGGGGCUGGCACAUGCACACUAUUGUACAUGGAAUGGAGGGCCAAUGGGGACCUGCCAUAUAGCACAGGGAACGCUACUCGAUCUUCUGUGAUACUCUAUAUGGGAAAAGAAUCUGAAAAAGAGCAUAUGCGCAUAGGUAUAACUGAAUCACUUUGCUAUAGGUAGAAAUUAACACAACACUGUAAAUCAACUAUACUUGAAUAAAAUUUUAAAAAAUGAAACAAAAAAGAAAUCAGGGCUGAGAUGCACCAGAAGACAUCUCUGUACAAGAUUCCCUUUUUUUUUUUUCAUCUUUUAGGGCCAUACCCAUGACACAUGGAGGUUCCCAGGCUAGGGAUCAAAUUGGAGCUGCAGCUGCCAGCCUACGCCACAGCCACAGCAAUGCAGGAUCUGAGCCGCAUCUGUGACCUACAUACACCACAGCUCACGGCAACGCUGGAUCCUUAACCCAAUGGUCGAGGCCAGGGGUCAAACCUGUGUCCUCACGGAUGCUAGUCGGAUUCGUUUCCGCUGAGCCAUGACUGGAACUCCCGUACAAGAUUCUUAAUUACAGCACUAUGUACAACUGUGCCAGACUGGGAGGCACACAAACAUCCACCAACAGUCAAAGAUAAAAAAAUGCGAUAACAUCCACACAAUGGACUCUUCUCAAUGGGAUUCAUACAACUGAAUACUACACAGCAAUGAAAAAACAAAUGACUGCACCUUGCACGAACAUGCAUGAAUCUCAGAGAUGUGAUGCUGAGAGAAAGACACCAGAAACAAAAAGGACAGAUCUAGGAUCCCACUAAUGUCAAGUCCUAAGCCAGGCAAAAGGAAUCUGUGGUAAGGAAACUAGGAGUGCCCACCCCUGUGGGGCGUGGGUGACACGAGGGGUCUUGGGCUUCUGCUCGUGGUCUGUUUCUUGGUCUCUGUGCUGUUGGCACAGGUGUGUUCAUUUUGUGAAAAUCCAUCAGGCAACACAGUUAAGACGGAAGGUAUGUCAUAUCUCAAUGUAAAAAACAAUAACCGUGAUAACACCCAAAAAGCCCCCCCCCCAAACCACGAGAGACAUGAAGAGGGAGAGGAAGGGGAGAGAAGAUUAGAAAGAAGCCAGCAUGCAUGUCUGAGUGGGCACAAAUUACAACUGAUGGCAACCAGGUCACUGAGGCUUCUCUGCAGACUUGCUCGCAUUUGGGGUUGGGCGGCAGGUCACGUGCAGCAUCACCCUGGAUCAUCGCAAGAGCCCGUGAUGCAAGCACCCUCCACCCACAUGACAGCGGAGACACCCAAGUCACAGACUUGCCUGAGGUCACACAGCCAGUGUGUGUGCCAGAGAUGGGGUCUGAGUUGUGACCAAUGAGACGCCACAGCCCACACGCUUAUCCUCUCGGCCUCUGGCAAUUUAGAAGCCAGACCCCCUGGCUUCUGAAAAUGCACAAGGUUCGUGGUGCUGCAGAGAAAGUCAAGUGGAAGCAGAUAGCUUCCCUCAGACAUGAGGAGCGGGGAAAGAAUUAAAAUGGCAGCGAGCGAGUUCCCGUUGUGGGGCAGCGGAAACGAACCCGGCUAGUAUCCAUGAAGACAUGAGUUUGAUCCCUGGGCCCGCUCAGCAGGUUAAAGAUCCGGCAUGGCUGUGAGCUUUGAUGUAGGACAACGCCGGAUCCUUGACCCACUGAGCAAGGCCGGGGAUCAAACCUGCAUCCUCAUGGAUACUAGUCAGAUUCGUUUCUGCUGAGCCACAACGGGAACUCCGACCUUGAUUUUUAAAUUGGAUUUUAAUUCAUUGUUAUAGAAAAGUCCUCCCUCCCUUAUGAAAUCCAUACGCCUAUCUGCAGACGCAUCACAUACAUAGUCCAGGUCUGUGUCUUAGCACUGUCUCUCUCCUGAGACAAUUCUUCUGGCAAGAUGACAUCAGCAACUGCUCUCCUGGAGAAUAUCUUAAGAGGCUUUGACUGUAUUAAAGAGAAACACAAAUGUGUGAUAUAUAAUGAGCCCCGUUUCUUUCUUCUUGUUUAAUACAUUAAGUACCGGGAUUAUUUACACAGCAGUUGGCAGAGUGUCAAAUGAGAAACAAGCUUGAGUUUAUGGCUUCAUUCGGCUGGAGCAUCUUUUCUCUCCCAAAUUUCUCUCUGGAAAACCAGGGGAUGGUGCUGGCACUCUCUGCGUCUCUGUUCCAACUGGGUGGUGGUAUCCACACAGGUUUCUGGAAGCUCUUCCACACGAGGGUGUUGCUGGCAGAGGCCUCUGAGAUUCUGCAUCUCUACAGAGAAACCUGUGGGAAGGCCUGACUUUCUAUAGCAUCAGCUCCCAGAUGUGGCUGUGGGUUUACAGGGCUUCUCGACCAGGAGGCACAGUGCAUUUGCACAAGUCUGACUCAAUUCCUGAUAGAAGCCCCAGGAUCUUGGGUGAGAUGCUUAAAGCCUUUGGUUUCUUUAUCUCUUUUUUCUUUUUUUUUUUUUUUUUUUUGUCUUUUUGCCUUUU
ensembl:lncRNA